CAGCAGACACAUUCCAGCCAAUCAGCAGCAGACCCUCCCUCCCAGACCCCCCUACCUCCUGGACAGCAUCCAUUUUGAAGCUGCAUUCUUAGUGAGCUGUCCAGGAGGUGGGAGGGUCUGGGAGGGAGGGUCUGCUGCUGAUUGGCUGGAAUGUGUCUGCUG
rnacentral:miRNA from 1 species